UACGUAGGGGGCUAGCGUUGUCCGGAAUCAUUGGGCGUAAAGCGCGUGUAGGCGGCCCGGUAAGUCCGCUGUGAAAGUCCAGGGCUCAACCCUGGGAUGCCGGUGGAUACUGUCGGGCUCGAGUCCGGAAGAGGCGAGUGGAAUUCCUGGUGUAGCGGUGAAAUGCGCAGAUAUCAGGAGGAACACCAAUGGCGAAGGCAGCUCGCUGGGACGUGACUGACGCUGAGACGCGAAAGCCAGGGGAGCAAACGGG
rnacentral:rRNA from 1 species